GGGGUGACUAGUGACAGAGUGAGGGAAGGGGUGACUAGUGGCAGAGUGAGGUAAGCAAGGGGUGACUAGUGACAGAGUGAGGGAAGUGGUGACUGUCACUAGUCACCACCUCCCUCACUCUGUCACUAGUCACCACCUCCCUCUGUCACUACUCCCUCCCUCCUUCUGUCACUAGUCACCCCCUCCGUCCCUUACUCUGUCACUAGUCACCCCCUAACUCACUCUGUCACCAGUCAUCCCC
rnacentral:sRNA from 1 species